GCAGGCGUCAUCUAGUCUGGUCUAGGAUACAAGCCUUCCAAGCUUGAUGCCCGGGUUCGAAUCCCGGCGCCUGCA
rnacentral:tRNA from 1 species